UACGUAGGCAGCAAGCGUUGUUCGGAGUUACUGGGCGUAAAGGGUGUGUAGGCGGUUUUUUAAGUUUGGUGUGAAAUCUCCCGGCUCAACCGGGAGGGUGCGCCGAAUACUGGGGGACUCGAGUGCGGGAGAGGAAAGUGGAAUUCCUGGUGUAGCGGUGAAAUGCGUAGAUAUCAGGAGGAACACCGGUGGUGUAGACGGCUUUCUGGACCGUAACUGACGCUGAGACACGAAAGCGUGGGUAGCAAACAGG
rnacentral:rRNA from 1 species